rnacentral:lncRNA from 1 species
GUGCAGGGGAGCCAUACAUCAAAAUAAUUAGCUCAGGGUUUUAUUAAAUUUAUUCUCAAAUUGAGACUGGAUCAGCCCAUGGUCCCAGACUUAAAAGAAUUUACAGGUUAAUUUAUGAGACAAGACAAAUGCAUCAAAAGGUAAAUAAUGAGAGGAAGCCACGUGAUAAUGAAAGAUACUAACAAUAAGUGCUAGAAAUUCAUGUGACAGAUCGUUUUUAUCACAAUUCCAGAGACUUAAGGAAGAAGGAGGAGAUCGAAAAUGGACCCCGCCAGAACUGCCCUAGAACUAACCAAAUGCGGCUCUUUACCCUUCAAAUGUGGUGGAUCCAAAUGGAGACAUGCACAAUCCAAUGGAAUCCUUCCAUAGGAAGAUAAAUGGCAGGAUCAAUGUCAUCUGUCUCUCCCUGUCAUACAGAAGGAGGAAAUAGAGAACUUUUCUGGUACUGGAAAGAGGUUUAUUAGAUAAUCAUUCACAUAUAUUCACCUGCCUCCUCCUCAUCUCGAUGGAUGGAGUAUACAUCACUAUUUCAUGCAUGUUAGAUUUGUUCAUGUUACUUGCUUUGGCCUUACAGUAGGUGGAAAGUACUUGGUCACUGGGAGGCCCACAGUUAUGGUGUAAACACAAGCUUGAAUGUGAUCAUGUCAUUGAGCUUGACCUCUUGUACCCCCUGGACCCAUGAGGGUGAGAAACAGGAGAAGUUGGUUUGGAUCCAAACUUCAACUUGGAGCUAAGCCAGACAAGCCUGUCUAGGUUCACCAAUCCCCUAAUUUGCAGAUGUAUGAAUAAAUAUAUAUGAUGGUUGUUUUAAGCCACUUAAUUUUUGGAAUGACUUGUUACACAGCUUUACUGUGGCAGUAGAUGACUGAUAAAAAGAAUCAGAGAAAGAAAUUCUAAGAAAAGCAGAAAGUAAGAGGCAAGGUCUUGGCCAUCUUUUUCUUUGGGAAAGAAACCCUGGAAAUGAGAAGAGGCAGGUAAAAGUACCAGACAGAUUUGUAUACCAAUGCUUCACUUUCUCUUGUGUAUCCUAGGAAGCUUGCAACCCUGUCAAAGAAGCUGUGUAUCUGGUGCCGUGUAGCACCCAACAUGGUGUAGGAGCGUCAGCUGAGUAGCACCAGUGGACGGAGGUGCUAAAUAGAUGGUCCUAAAAUUGCUGUUUAAGUUGUCCUCAGCUUGAAUGUGACAUUUUGACUACCUAAAAUUUCUACAUGUUCCAGGGUAGAUACAAAGUUUUGAGAGAACUGGUGGACAUGAAGAGGCCUAAGGCAAGAAAAAAGAGAUUGC